rnacentral:pre_miRNA from 1 species
UGGAUGUAGUGCUUUCAGUGAGUGUUUUCAAGUGACGAAACAUUUCUCCCACGGAAAACGCUACAUCCGGA